rnacentral:rRNA from 1 species
UACAGAGGGUGCAAGCGUUGUUCGGAAUCAUUGGGCGUAAAGGGCGUGUAGGCGGUUUGUUAAGUCAUGUGUGAAAUCCCUCGGCUCAACCGGGGAACGACGCAUGAAACUGGCAAGCUAGAGUACCAAAGAGGGCGGUGGAAUUCCCGGUGUAGCGGUGAAAUGCGUAGAGAUCCGGAGGAACACCAGUGGCGAAGGCGACACGCUGGGCCGUACC